rnacentral:rRNA from 1 species
AGUGAACGCUGGCGGUAGGCCUAACACAUGCAAGUCGAACGGGAGCACAGUAAGAGCUUGCUCUUACGGGUGGCGAGUGGUGGACGGGUGAGGAAUACAUCGGAAUCUACUUUUUCGUGGGGGAUAACGUAGGGAAACUUACGCUAAUACCGCAUACGACCUACGGGUGAAGGCAGGGGAUCUUCGGACCUUGCGCGAUUGAAUGAGCCGAUGUCGGAUUAGCUAGUUGGCGGGGUAAAGGCCCACCAAGGCGACGAUCCGUAGCUGGUCUGAGAGGAUGAUCGGCCACGCUGGAACUGAGACACGGGCCAGACUCCUACGGGAGGCAGCAGUGGGGAAUAUUGGACAAUGGGCGCAAGCCUGAUCCAGCCAUACCGCGUGGGUGAAGAAGGCCUUCGGGUUGUAAAGCCCUUUUGUUGGGAAAGAAAAGCAGCAGGUUAAUACCCCGCUGUUCUGACGGUACCCAAAGAAUAAGCACCGGCUAACUUCGUG